rnacentral:lncRNA from 1 species
UUUUCCUCUUUGCAGGAAAUUCCAGUGCCAGGAUGUUAAACUCAGACUUCCUCACAACAGCCUGCUGGUGACGGCUUGCACCCGGUGGGCUGUGUGACAGUGUGUUUUGUCUCCUGGUGAGCUGAAAGGAAGCAGAAGCUGUCCAACAGUGAGUGUAAGAGAUCCCAUUUCUCCUUCCCCCCGAUCCCCCGUAGCGUAGCUUGUGCUUUGCAGGGCACGUGAGGACCCCAACCCAUGGGUACCUAAAGCAGCCCUGAUGGUGGGGGACGCACUGCGGUGACGGUAUUGUCUCAUCACGGGGGGGUUUGGUGCCUCCUGGGGGGCCAGAGCCAAGGGUGGUCUUGUCUCUUUCCCGAAACCUGCAAAGUUUUUGUUUUGAAGUCGACAUGGCACCUCUUUUUCUCAAAAACUGGAAAUGUGUUUUAUGUCUCCAAAUACCUCUCUGGGCAGCCCAUAAGAGAUGACCUCUGCCAUGUAGUCUACAGCAACGCAAGCUGAGCAACACGGCAAGAGCGUGAUAUGUGACAGCAAAGAAAAAAAGUCCUUCAAAAUACUGACUUGAAGACGAAUACCCGAAGCCGUGCAAGUCAGAUGAAAGCAUAGGCACGGGCAGUGCAUGCCAAGGCUCAGCUUCCAGGACCAUGAGAGGAUGCCAGGCCGCUCUGCUUCCAAUUACACGAGUAUUAUACCUCCUGCUCCGAAGACUGCAAGCACAGAUUUGACCGCUUUCCCGUGCCAGCCGCUUCCAGGGAGGGUAGGAGAGGAGUGCCCCAGGCUCAGCCUGGCUGGCACGGCCACAGCUGCCCAGCUGAGGAAGGACACGUCCUGGUCACCAGGGCGAUGGGCGAUGACUGACAAAAGGAGAGAGGUCUGCCACCGAAUUUCAGCUGGUGAAGAAGAGAGAGCAAACACUAGCUGCGCUCGGUUUUGUGUCCCCUGUCAGCAGCAGUCAAUAGAAAUGGUUGAAACGGCUGUCGUGGCAUCAGACCUGCCAGAGGAUUUCUAGCUUCUGUAGGACUUGCAAGUAUGAGGUGACCACUUGGAUCCCAGAGAACAUGGUCAGCACACGAGGAGACUGAAACACAGCAGGCAGUACACAAGGUAAGUAUUUACUCUCUGCGUAUUCGGGUUAUGGGGAUACUGCUUGUCUGCAGUGCUGGAGCUGUUUACAGCAGCUUGUGAGCUUUAAUAAGUGACUUAUUUUCUGG